GCGAAGAAGUCGGCAAAGCAUACUGCCUGAAGUUUUUUUCUUGGCAUAGAAACACAUUGCUGGUUCUGCUCUUUGUUCUGGAGCUCGCUGAGUCAGGGAUUCAAAAAGAAUAGCGUGAGGCCGGGAGUGGCAAAGGAAUCUGCAGCAGAUGCAGAAGCCCCAGAGACGUGGUGUGGCUUGAAGAUGCUUCCCUCCUUCGCUGUACUGGCUCUGGAAUCAAGGUCAGGGGCAGGCAACCAAGUCCAGUUCCCUGGAGUCCCAGACCCAGCCCCUUCUCCAAAGAACAUCGGCUUUGUUCCACCCUUGGACUCCACACAGGCUCAGCUGAGUGUCCCAGGCCGAGAGUGUGUGAAGACUCCGAGUGUCUCUACCCAUUUAUUUCAGUUCUUUUGGCUGCACUUCCUGAACCCUGAAGACGCUGGGCCAAGACUUCUUUCUGUGAUCUGCCAGACCUUUGUUCAACCUCACAAAAGGAAGGGAGGAUGGUUAUUAGAAGAACAGUUUCUGCGUUCCAUAGUUACCCCACGUGACAUUGCCUUAGUCUCUCACAAAACUCCAGAUCGCCGGGGUCGAUGUUUCUCCUUCCUUUUCAUCUGGUUAUUUUGCAGCUGUUUAUAGAGAUCGUCACCAUGGUGACAGCAUCAGAACAGCACUUACGGUUUCUGCUCCAAGUCAACCCGCCUCCCUUUUUGAUGGAUUGCCAGCGGGUUUCACCACAGAGGUGGUCCACUCCAGGAAGAGGGAUGGGAAGAUUUGGCUUGGGGUUCCCGACUGGAAACUGGAUUUACCAGAAACCCUCUUUCCUUCAGCUACAACCUGGGUCAAAGUUUCAGGGUGUUGAAAGACACAGUAUAUAAACUACAAAUCUAAAGGACCAUUGGUGUUUGGUCCAUGGACUUGGAGAUUGAGUUCAACAAAUAAACACAGCUGGCGUUGUGGCCUUCAGCAAAUA